rnacentral:rRNA from 1 species
GACGAACGCUGGCGGCGUGCUUAACACAUGCAAGUCGAACGGAAAGGCCCUGCUUUUGUGGGGUGCUCGAGUGGCGAACGGGUGAGUAACACGUGAGUAACCUGCCCUUGACUUUGGGAUAACUUCAGGAAACUGGGGCUAAUACCGGAUAGGAGCUCCUGCUGCAUGGUGGGGGUUGGAAAGUUUCGGCGGUUGGGGAUGGACUCGCGGCUUAUGAGCUUGUUGGUGGGGUAGUGGCUUACCAAGGCUUUGACGGGUAGCCGGCCUGGGAGGGUGACCGGCCACAUUGGGACUGGGGAAGGGCCCGGACUCAAACGGGAGGCAGCGGUGGGAAAUAUUGCAAAAUGGGCGGAGGCCGUAUGGAGCAACGCCGGGUCGGGAAUGACGGCUUUCGGGUUGUAAACCGUUUUCGCCUGUGACGACGCGUGAGGAAGGGAAAUGGGUAAGAAGCACCGGCUAACUACGUG